GACGAACGCUGGCGGCGUGCUUAACACAUGCAAGUCGAACGGAAAGGCUCCAGCUUGCUGGAGUACUCGAGUGGCGAACGGGUGAGUAACACGUGGGUAAUCUGCCCUGCACUCUGGGAUAAGCCUGGGAAACUGGGUCUAAUACUGGAUAUGACCUUUCUCCUUAUGGGGUUUGGUGGAAAGUUUUUCGGUGUAGGAUGAGCCCGCGGCCUAUCAGCUUGUUGGUGGGGUGAUGGCCUACCAAGGCAACGACGGGUAGCCGGCCUGAGAGGGUGAUCGGCCACAUUGGGACUGAGAUACGGCCCAGACUCCUACGGGAGGCAGCAGUGGGGAAUAUUGCACAAUGGGCGGAAGCCUGAUGCAGCGACGCCGCGUGAGGGAUGACGGCCUUCGGGUUGUAAACCUCUUUCAGCAGGGACGAAGCGUAAGUGACGGUACCUGCAGAAGAAGCACCGGCUAACUACGUG
rnacentral:rRNA from 1 species